UACGUAGGGUGCGAGCGUUGUCCGGAAUUAUUGGGCGUAAAGGGCUCGUAGGCGGUUUGUCGCGUCGGGUGUGAAAACCUUGGGCUUAACUCAGGGCUUGCUUUCGAUACGGGCAGACUAGAGGUAUGCAGGGGAGAACGGAAUUCCUGGUGUAGCGGUGAAAUGCGCAGAUAUCAGGAGGAACACCGGUGGCGAAGGCGGUUCUCUGGGCAUGAUCUGACGCUGAGGAACGAAAGUGUGGGGAGCGAACAGG
rnacentral:rRNA from 1 species